CACCGCAAAAAUAUCCCUAUCUAUAUUUAGAUAUUCAAAAAAUAAUACUCUAUUUAGAUAUUAAAUAGAUAUUAA
rnacentral:tRNA from 1 species